CAGAAUGAUGAAAUGAGAGUAGACUCUGGUUCCUUAGACAGACUGAUUGGGAUUAUAAAACUCAACCACUAUAAUUGAUUGCAGACACAAUGAUAAUAAUGAUAGAAAUUAAUUAAUAAGUAUUAUAUACAGUGGUUCUACAGGGCAGUGGUUCUACAGGGCAGUGGUUCUAUAGGUCAGUGGUUCUACAGGUCAGUGGUUCUACAGGUCAGUGGUUCUACAGGUCAGUGGUUCUACAGGUCAGUGGUUCUACAGGUCAGUGGUUCUACAGGUCAGUGGUUCUACAGGUCAGUGGUUCUACAGGUCAGUGGUUCUACAGGUCAGUGGUUCUACAGGUCAGUGGUUCUACAGGUCAGUGGUUCUACAGGUCGGUGGUUCUAUAGGUCAGUGGUUCUACAGGUCAGUGGUUCUACAGGUCAGUGGUUCAGUAGGUCAGUGGUUCUACAGGUCAGUGGUUCUACAGGUCAGUGGUUCUACAGGUCAGUGGUUCUGUAGGUCAGUGGUUCUGUAGGUCAGUGGUUCUACAGGUCAGUGGUUCUACAGGUCGGUGGUUCUACAGGUCGGUGGUUCUACAGGUCAGUGGUUCAGUAGGUCAGUGGUUCUACAGGUCAGUGGUUCUACAGGUCAGUGGUUCUAUAGGUCAGUGGUUCUACAGGUCAGUGGUUCUACAGGUCGGUGGUUCUACAGGUCAGUGGUUCAGUAGGUCAGUGGUUCUACAGGUCAGUGGUUCUACAGGUCAGUGGUUCUACAGGGCAGUGGUUCUACAGGUCAGUGGUUCUGUAGGUCAGUGGUUCUACAGGGCCGUGGUUCUGUAGGUCAGUGGUUAUGUAGGUCAGUGGUUCUACAGGUCAGUGGUUCUACAGGUCAGUGGUUCUCUAGGUCAGUGGUUAUGUAGGUCAGUGGUUCUACAGGUCAGUGGUUCUACGGGCCAGUGGUUCUACAGGUCAGUGGUUCUACAGGUCAGUGGUUCUACAGGUCAGUGGUUCUGUAGGUCAGUGGUUCUAUAGGUCAGUGGUUCUACAGGUCAGUGGUUCUACAGGUCAGUGGUUCUACAGGGCAGUGGUUAUGUAGGUCAGUGGUUCUACAGGUCAGUGGUUCUACGGGCCAGUGGUUCUACAGGUCAGUGGUUCUACAGGUCAGUGGUUCUGCAGGUCAGUGGUUCUGUAGGUCAGUGGUUCAGUAGGUCAGUGGUUCUACAGGUCAGUGGUUCUACAGGGCAGUGGUUCUAUAGGUCAGUGGUUCUGUAGGUCAGUGGUUCUACAGGUCAGUGGUUCUACAGGUCAGUGGUUCUGUAGGUCAGUGGUUCAGUAGGUCAGUGGUUCAGUAGGUCAGUGGUUCAGUAGGUCAGUGGUUCAGUAGGUCAGUGGUUCUAUGGGGCAGUGCUUCUACAGGUCAGUGGUUCUACAGGUCAGUGGUUCUAAGGGUCAGUGGUUCUAAGGGUCAGUGGUUCUGUAGGUCAGUGGUUCUACAGGCCAGUGGUUCUAUAGGCCAGUGGUUCUACAGGCCAGUGGUUCUACAGGCCAGUGGUUCUACAGGCCAGUGGUUCUACAGGUCAGUGGUUCUAUAGGUCAGUGGUUCUACAGGCCAGUGGUUCUACAGGCCAGUGGUUCUACAGGCCAGUGGUUCUACAGGCCAGUGGUUCUACAGGCCAGUGGUUCUAUAAGGGAUGCUGCAUGCGUUUUAACUGCAGUUCUUUGGCAAACCCCUAGGGGUAUAUGUAGGCUAGCGUACAGUAGCUUGCAUGACGGCUUGGGGUUGUGUGUUGGCCCCUCCGCAGGUAUCUAAUCUCUCUCGCUCUCUCUCUCUCUCUCCGUCUCUCUUUCUCUCUCUCUCUCUCUCUCCGUCUCUCUUUCUCUCUCCGUCUCUCUUUCUCUCUCUCUCUCUCUCUCUCUCUCCGUCCCUCUGUCUCUCUCUAUCUCUCUCUCUCCGUCUCUCUUUCUCUCUCCGUCUCUCUUUCUCUCUCUCUCUCUCUCUCUCUCUCUCUCCGUCUCUCUGUCUCUCUCUGUCUCUCCAUCUCUCUCUCUCUCUGUCUGUCUCUCUCUUUCUCUCUCUCUCCGUCUCGCUGUCUCUGUCUCUCUCUCCGUCUCUCUCUCUCUCUCCGUCUCUCUCUCUCUGUCUCUCUCUCUCUCUCUCUCGCUCUCUCUCUCUCCAUCUCUCUCUCUCUCUGUCUGUCUCUCUCUGUCUCUGUCUCUCUCUGUCUCUCUCUCUGUCUCUCUCUCUCUGUCUCUCUCUCUCUGUCUCUCUCUCUCUCCCUCUCUC